GGGGAAUAUUGGGCAAUGGGCGCAAGCCUGACCCAGCAACGCCGCGUGAGGGAAGAAGGUCUUCGGAUUGUAAACCUCUGUCCUUGGGGACGAAAAAAAUGACGGUACCCAAGGAGGAAGCUCCGGCUAACUACGUGCCAGCAGCCGCGGUAAUACGUAGGGAGCGAGCGUUGUCCGGAAUUACUGGGCGUAAAGGGUGCGUAGGCGGCUAUGCAAGUCAGAUGUGAAAUCCCCGGGCUUAACUCGGGUGGUGCAUUUGAAACUGCGUAGCUUGAGUGCAGGAGAGGAAAGCGGAAUUCCUAGUGUAGCGGUGAAAUGCGUAGAUAUUAGGAGGAACACCAGUGGCGAAGGCGGCUUCCUGGACUGUAACUGACGCUGAGGCACGAAAGCGUGGGGAGCAAAC
rnacentral:rRNA from 1 species